rnacentral:rRNA from 1 species
GACUAAAGAAUUAAGUUAUAUUAAUACGGUAAAAAAGACAGUUAGACAGUAACCUUAGUUUCUUGAUUAUUUAUAAAAAAGUAAAAUUUGUAUAUAAAUAUAAUAACCUAACAAUGACUUUAUGGUUGAAUCUGUGAUAGCUUUAAGGGAAACUGGGAUUGGAUACCCCAUUAUUUUUAGCUGUAAAUUAAAUAGCUAAUUUAUCAGAGUACUAUGAAUAUAAAGUUUAAAACUCAAAGAGCUUGGCGGUGUUUUAGACCUUUCAGGGGAACCUGUUUUAUAAUCGACAAUCCACGCUAUACCUGACCUUUUUUUGUAAUCAGUUUGUAUACCGUCGUCGUCAGGUAACUUUUAAAAAACCAAAAGUUAGCUAACAAAUUUUAUAAAUUAGAACGUCAGAUCAAGGUGCAACUUAUAAAAAGGAAAAAAUGGGUUACAAUUAUAAAAUUGUAAUUACGAAAAAUUAUAUAAAUAUAUAAUUAGAAGGAGGACUUGAAAGUAAUUUUGAUUAUAUAAAAAAUUUGAAUAAGGCUCUGAAACGUGC